AAUAAUCCAUCAAGGAAUUCUUAGGAAUGAAGUCCACCCAACUUAGUCUUGGAUGAAUCUCAAAUAUCCUAAAUUAGCCCAGCACUGAUUCUUGCCAACUCCUGUCUGGUAGCCUUUCCUCUGCUCUGGCUGGUGGGUAUGGAUCCCUAGUCACCCUCUGUGGCUGCAGAUAUACUGCAUCUAGAGUCUUGUAAUGUCCCCAGUGAGUGUGUACUGAGAGGUGACAUGGACAUGCAAGGUUCUCAGGUGUCCCAGGCAAGUGUCUGCGUUCCAUCCAGCAACUAAUGUAGUUGCUGAGUUUAGAGCACAUUAGGGUAUAUGCUUUUGUGGGGGACUUUGGGCUCCAUGCCAGCCUCCUUCACUUCCUUCUUUGUAGAACUGAGAUGCUGUGCCAAGAAUGCAGCCCUUAUCUGUGUGCUCCCAGCAAGCUAGGAAGGCUUCCCAGAAGAGCUGUUCUAGGCCCAGAGGUGUCUUGCUGACCAGGGUACCUGAACAGGCUCUCAGCUGCCUUCCUUCCUUUCAGACUUCCUCCCUGUGCAGGGACUUUCCACAGCUGCUCAUUCUGCAUGGAAAACAUUUUACCCUGUCUUACCCAUCCCAUGUCUGUGAGGUCCUUGCAUUUCAUCAAAUUCAGUGGAAAGCCUUCCUUGAUAAGAAAGCUAGGUUCUUCCUUAGGGAGGAAAUAGAAUCUGGCUUUGGUAUUGGGGAUUGAGCCUAAGGCCUUCACAUGCUAGACAAGCUCUCCAGCUCUGAGCCAUCUCCUCAGUUCAGAAGGUUAGGUCUAACCAUUGAUUUUUACAUAUCAUUGUCCACCCCUGAUUGACAGCUCUGUGUGUGUCAAGCACUGCCAAAGUGCUUGGUGGGAAGCUACUGCAUGUAGGGGCUCAGACCAUUUAAACUGAGGUACUGUUGUGACUACCCAGAACACACCAUACAGGACACCAAGGCCUGACGGACUCUGACAGUGAGGAGGCUAGUCCCAGGUUCCAGGCUGCCAAUGUGUGCUUGUGCCCAUUCUUCUAUGUCCCAAGUCAUGUGUCCCAGCAACCCAUCCUUCUCCUCCUCCUGGCCAUCAUUCAUCACAGAUGUCAUCUCACAGUUAUUUGUGUCCUUAUGGCAAAUGGCUGUUUGUUCCCAUGUUGGGCAACCCCUGUGAGCCCAAGGAUGGCGACGGUAACUAAAUUUAUAAGUAGGUGUCCUGCCUAUGCUGACUGACAGCCUAAGGAACCAGUCACUCAUCCCUGGAGUCUCCCUUGCCCUUGUCUGGGUGCUGACUGUGAAAGAGCCUGGCAGACCCUCUGCUCUGUAGAACUUACUUUUGUUACGCCAUGACAUUACCCAAGCCCUACUACCUGGGAUCGGCAAUGGAGCCAUCUGCUAAGGAAGCAUGGAGGCUUGGUGGAGUCUGCCCCUUUUUGUGGUCUUGUCUACCUGGAUCCCCCUUGUCCCCUUGUCUUUUUUUUUUUUUUUCCCUUUCCUGUAAUGAAAGGAGUCGCUGGGCCUCCUAGGACAGAGGCUGGUAUGUGGACCUGCAUACACUCCCAAGAAUGACUGACCACGCGGGUCAUUAUGACCUGUGUGCCUGCCACCCUGGUCCUUCUGGAGCUCAUUGGGGCCCAGAGUAGCCCUGGAGUUAGUGUCUGCAGUCUCAGGGUUCUACAGAAAGGGCACGGGAGAAACUGAAGUUACUUCCUUAAGAACAGCUGUUUCACGGCGCAGAUGCACAUCCUGCUGCUGCUGCUGUGUUUCUCUUGCGUAAUUUAUCACUCAGCCACACCUUCACUUCUCAGGGGACUAAUGUGUCACUUUGAAUAAUAUAUCAUUGCUCUUGGCUAAAGAAAUACUUUCUCCUUGCCCAGUCUGAAGGAACCCUCCUCCCUGCUUUGCACUCUAUGACCACUGGCUUACGUGGUCAUCGGGACCCUCCUCCCAGAGUCCAGUGAUGUGAAAAUUUGGUGUGGACUCCAAGCAGCUGGUCAGGGGCUGGGCCACAGAGGAAGCGGGUUCCCCAGGGCAUCUUACCAGGCUGUUAGGGCUUUCUAAGGCCAGUAUGGCUCAAGUCCAAAUGACUCACACUGCUAUUUAGUGAGAAAAACAAAAACAGAAAUGGCUUCUGACCAGGUAGGGAAAGGGGACAGUGGGGGCAGGGAGUGGGGGUGAUAGUGAGGAUCGGGCACUGUUUCUGGCUGCAGACUAAGAUGCCCUGAAAGUGCAGAUAGUCCCCAAGCCUCCUUCAGAGGGCACUUGUCACCUGGCCGUAGGCUCUGGAGACAAGCUGCUUCAGUGCCCUGCCCUGAGGCAAACCACCAGGCUGUUCCUGUUCUGCAGGUGGCACCGUGACAAGAGAGAGAUGUACCCUGUGUGAGAUUCUCACGUGUAGGAAACCCCAACGAUCUGCUAUCAUAAGCAUUGUUUCCAGAAGUAGCCAUGGGACACCUUAGAAGGCCUCAGAGCACAGGAAAGGCUGUGACAGAUGAGUGAGGUGACACAGGAGCACACUGAGAAUCCCCGGUUCCACCUCCAUAGCAUUGUCAGAGCAAAUGUGUGUUGUUCUGGCGUUGGCAAAAAUUUCUGAGCACUGUUUUACAAGGUUUGGCUCUAAGCUCUUCAUUUUUCUGUCUGAGGCGGCUUUGUCAGACAGGCCCUUACUGGCCUCGUGCCCAGUUAACUGUGUGACCCACAUUGGCCAGCCUGGGUGCCAACUGCCUGGACAGCACCUGGCAGGGAGAAGCAUGUCCACGGCUGUCGCUAGUACUGAAGUAUUUGCUUUAAAUGAUAAACAUUUAACAUCCUACAGUAAGUUCUGGGUUCACUGACAGUGACCCCUGGUGUGUGUGAGCCUGAGAAAUCCUGCUCUCAGAUGGCCAUGCCUUUGCUCAUCCUAUUACUUGCUGCUAGGACAGAUGUACUACUGACUUCAGUCUGGAGAUUAGAAGAAAGUUAGGUACUGUGAAUGGUGCCCCCCCC
rnacentral:lncRNA from 1 species